rnacentral:lncRNA from 1 species
UCCCGCCAUCUUCCGUCAGAGAAUCCCGGCUCCUGCUGCAAUAAGAGGCUGUUCUGGAAGCUCUGGGGUUCGGGUCUUUGUCCCUGCAGCUAUGCUUCCAGAGUGCUCUGUGCAUUUUCACGAUCAGCAAACAAUGAAUAAAUCUCUGUUCUGGAAGCUGGGAAGUCCAGGAUCAAGGCACUGUCAUCUGGUACCUGAUGAGAGACUUCUUCCUGCAUCCUUACAUGGUGGAAGACAAAAGAGUGGCAGAGAAUGAAUAUACUCCCAGUCCAUUCGAGAGGGAAGAGCCCUCACCUCAUCACUUCCCUGAGGCCUCACCUUCUAAUACUAUCACCUUGGUGAUAAGAUUUCAACAUAGGAAUUAGAGGGGAAUACAUACAUCCAGACUAUUGCAGAUGGGAUUAUGUAAUACUUUGUUCCUGUUUGGCUUAUUUCUUAGCACAAUAUCUUUCUGGUAUGUGCAUGUUUCUGCAAAUGGCAAGAUUUUCUUCCUUUUUAAGGCUGAGUAAUAAUUCAUUGCAUGUAUAGACCACAUUUUCUUUAUGCAUUCAUUAUUAGUGAGAGUUCUUAUUACAAAUGGCGAAGUGGUUUUUAAUAUUGAUUUAAUUUUUGUUAUUAAAAACAUUUUUAGAUGGUUAGAUUCCUUUUUAGAAUAAAUAUACUUCAUUAGUUAAGGCAGUUUUAACUUCACAGCAGAAUUAAGAAGUACAUAGAUUUCCUAUAUACCCUAAUGCACAUAUAUAUGUAUCC